rnacentral:lncRNA from 1 species
UAAAGAUCUUUUUCUGUCAUGUCUCCAGGGUCAUAGAAUGCUCUCUGGGUUUGUAGUGGAGAGGGGGUGUAGCUUGGUCACAAGGCUGCUGGGUCUGCACUAGGGUCCACCUUUAGUUGGCUUGUUACAGGGGCUUGGGUAGUGGUAAUUCCCAUUUUAUUUUUGGACAGACUGAAUAUCCUUCAACACUUUGAUCUGUAGAGCAGACAAUAGGGC